CACUCCUACGGGAGGCAGCAGUGGGGAAUUUUGGACAAUGGGCGAAAGCCUGAUCCAGCAAUGCCGCGUGAGUGAAGAAGGCCUUCGGGUUGUAAAGCUCUUUUGUCAGGGAAGAAACGGUGAAAGCUAAUAUCUUUUGCUAAUGACGGUACCUGAAGAAUAAGCACCGGCUAACUACGUGCCAGCAGCCGCGGUAAUACGUAGGGUGCAAGCGUUAAUCGGAAUUACUGGGCGUAAAGCGUGCGCAGGCGGUUUUGUAAGUCUGAUGUGAAAUCCCCGGGCUCAACCUGGGAAUUGCAUUGGAGACUGCAAGGCUAGAAUCUGGCAGAGGGGGGUAGAAUUCCACGUGUAGCAGUGAAAUGCGUAGAUAUGUGGAGGAACACCGAUGGCGAAGGCAGCCCCCUGGGUCAAGAUUGACGCUCAUGCACGAAAGCGUGGGGAGCAAACAGGAUUAGAUACCCCAGUAGUCCCAUG
rnacentral:rRNA from 1 species